UACAGAGGUCUCAAGCGUUGUUCGGAUUCAUUGGGCGUAAAGGGUGCGUAGGCGGCGCGGUAAGUCGGGUGUGAAAUCUCGGAGCUUAACUCCGAAACUGCAUUCGAUACUGCCGUGCUUGAGGACUGGAGAGGAGACUGGAAUUUACGGCGUAGCGGUGAAAUGCGUAGAUAUCAGGAGGAACACCAACGGCGAAGGCAGCACUCUGGGCCGGUACUGACGCUGAGGAGCGAAAGCGUGGGGAGCAAACAGG
rnacentral:rRNA from 1 species